AUGCUGGAAAUCAGCCUACAGCUGCCCCUCCAGGUGACCCCAUCAGGGGAGCAGGACUACGGAACUAGCAACCCAGGUAUUGAAGGAUUGUCACUCUCCAGGGACCUCACUGCUGGAGCAGGCCAGUGCUGGCAUCUUUCCGGGACCUGCUCUAAGCUGCCAAGAGGAAGUGAGAUUCAUGGGUACACAUGCGGGUGGCUGCACCCCUCCAGACCACACAUUGGACCCAGCAGCUCCUGUCUGGUUAGCAGUGCCCAAGGGAUGUUCCUGGUGCUGGAAACCUACUGGAUUUGGGUUGGUCGAAUCCAAGGAUGCUGAACCUGUGGAUCCAGAGGGUCGACUGUGUCUACGAAGACUGUAAGUAACCCCAGGAGCUCUUGGCUGCCAAGAAACCAGCCUGAAAAAGAGGCUGGCCUUUGAGGAGGACAGGAGAACAGAGGAGGGUAACUGAGCCAGGACCCCUGUCAAACCACAUCUGAUCCCUACAGUGACUCAGGUAUGUGAGCCAUACAAAUUAUCUUAUUUAAACACAUUUCAAGUAUCUUUUCUAUCAUUUGCAACCAAAAAGCAUUCUAAAGGAUCCAAUAUGAAAAGCAUUUAACAAGAACUUAACAGACAGUAGUUAGGUUAUCAACUCAAGUGUUUAAAAUUUAUAACGGAAAUGAGGGAAAUGAGUAACAUGUCUGUCACUCCAAGUGAACCUGUUCUGUAGCAGCAUGUAAACCCCUGGGCCCUGUUCUAGAAUUUUGCCAGUAAAUGAUCACCGCAGAACCCCUAACCUCCACUCUACCAACCAGAAUACAUCCCAUUUCCACAUUCGAAGUAAUUCAGGGCAAACUCUUUUAGUGACAGGAAGUAUUGACUCCGAACCCCAUCUCUCCACUGUCCCCUAGAUUAAUUAAGUGGAAGGAAUAGGAAGCCUGCUGCUCCUCCACAGUGUCCUGUGGCACCAGGAUGCCUCACAGAAGCCACACUGGCCCCACACGCCCUCGCUGUGUGCACAGAAGCCGGGGCCUGAUGCUCCCGAGUGUUACUGAACUGAGCUGGGGUCCACGCAUCUGCCGCGGUAGAACCAGAUAGUCACACUGAGCUUUUGCAGUGGUAGAAAGGAAGGUGUUUGUUUACAGGGCACCAUGCAAGGAGGCCCAGCAGCCUCUGCUCAGUCCUGGCCUCCCGGAUGGCUUGCGGGCAAGGGCUCUCCCAGGCAGGGAUGUGCCGCAGGAAAGUGGAUGCUUCAGGCACGGUUGUAAUCAACAUGUGGAGGGAACACAGCGGUCUUUGCUGUUGGUUCAGGGGCGAAGUUUGUUUAAAUUUUACGGUCAGCAAAAAAGAAAUGUUAACUGGCGGGGAGGGAGGCAGUGACUCCCUCCAAGUCCCCCAGGAAGAAACUUAGAAGAAAGAAUGGCCGUCAGGGUUCAGUCCUCAGCUCCCCUCAUCCGAGCUCUGCCUGCAGUCGGUCUGUUUGCUGAGGGUCCUCGGCGGCGGGGGUGGGGGUGCAGGUUUCUGGACUUGAACUUCCUC
rnacentral:lncRNA from 1 species